rnacentral:rRNA from 1 species
CAGCCGCCGCGGGAAUACGUAGGGUGCGAGCGUUAAUCGGAAUUACUGGGCGUAAAGCGUGCGCAGGCGGUUAUAUAAGACAGAUGUGAAAUCCCCGGGCUCAACCUGGGACCUGCAUUUGUGACUGUAUAGCUAGAGUACGGUAGAGGGGGAUGGAAUUCCGCGUGUAGCAGUGAAAUGCGUAGAUAUGCGGAGGAACACCGAUGGCGAAGGCAAUCCCCUGGACCUGUACUGACGCUCAUGCACGAAAGCGUGGGGAGCAAACAGGAUUAGAUACCCGGGUAGUCCCUGUCUCUUAUAC